GACGAACGCUGGCGGCGUGCCUAAUACAUGCAAGUCGAACGCAGUGGGGACGGGUGAGUAACACGUUGGUAACCUCCCAUCAGAGGGGAGAACACUUGGAAACAGGUGCUAAACCGAUACUGAUGGAUGGACCCGCGGUGCAUUAGCUAGUUGGUGAGGUAACGGCUCACCAAGGCCACGAUGCAGAGCUGACCUGAGAGGGUGAGCGGCCACACUGGGACUGAGACACGGCCCAGACUCCUACGGGAGGCAGCAGUAGGGAAUCUUCGGCAAUGGACGAAAGCCUGACCGAGCAACGCCGCGUGAGUGAAGAAGGUGUUCGGAUCGUAAAGCUCUGUUGUUAGAGAAGCGGUAUCUAAACAGAAAGCCACGGCUAACUACGUGCCAGCAGCCGCGGUAAUUC
rnacentral:rRNA from 1 species